UCGGAACCUCCCCCUCACGCGCUGCCUUCUCCCCUCAGGGCUCGGUGGGAACCGGCGGUGGCGGCGUCCCGGAGCCUCCGUGCCCGAUCCGCGGCGGGGCCCGGCGUUCUGGGCCGCUAAAACACGCUGUCCCCUGUUCCGGGGUUUGCGGUAAGUGGGGCUGAGCCCCAUAGGGAAAUCCUCUACAACUUGGAAGCGCAAAGAUGCAGCAGCAGAAUGGGCUGGAGGAAAGAAUUCACCGACUUUAACUCGCCUUCAUGGGUUAGUUCAAGCUCCGUGGAAGAUAACAAGGUACUCCUAUAAUGUUUUACCAGUCUCAAGACCAGCCUUAUUCCUAAUUUACUGCUGUAUUUCUGCUUUGGCUUCUAUAUAAAACAAAUUUUGUAGCUUGUGGGUGAAUAAAGUUUUGUAAAGUCUG